rnacentral:rRNA from 1 species
AAGUUGUUGCGGUUAAAAAGCUCGUAGUUGGAUCUCGGCGGGCAGGGGGUGGUUCGCUCUUCAGCGCUACUGCCCCGCUUUGCCCGUGUGAUUGGCGGAGGUUUCGGGGUGCUCUUCGUUGAGUGACUCGGAGCGCCGUCAGGUUUACUUUGAAAAAAUUAGAGUGCUCAAAGCAGGCUUUUCACGCUUGAAUAUUCGUGCAUGGAAUAAUGGAAUAGGAACUCGUUUCUAUUUUGUUGGUUUUCGGAAAUCGAGUUAAUGAUUAACAGGGACAAUUGGGGGCAUUAGUAUUCAGACGACAGAGGUGAAAUUCUUGGACCGUCUGAAGACUGACUACUGCGAAAGCAUUUGCCAAGAGUGUUUUCAUUAAUCAAGAACGAAAGUUAGAGGUUCGAAGGCGAUCAGAUACCGCCCUAGUUCUAACCAUAAACGAUGCCAGCUAGCGAUCUGCCGAGUUUUUUUUGUAGGCUCCGCAGGAAGCUUUCGGGAAACCAAAGCUUUUGGGUUCCGGGGGAAGUAUGGUUGCAAAGCUGAAACUUAAAGGAAUUGACGGAAGGGCACCACCAAGAGUGGAGCCUGCGGCUUAAUUUGACUCAACACGGGAAAUCUCACCAGGCCCGGACACUGGAAGGAUUGACAGAUUGAGAGCUCUUUCUCGA